AAAACAUCAAGCCAAGCCUGAAUAUCAGCACCCCAAUUCUCAGGUACCAAAUUAAAGUCAGAAAAUCUUGGUUUCCCCUUAAGGGUAACACUCUUAAUCUUGGGAAAUCUUCUUGCUACAAUCUCAGGAGUAACUGAAUAGCAAUUUCCAAUAAACAGCUUAGUUCUUGUCCAACGCUCUGCAUUAUACCAAUCUUUGCACACCAAUGAAGCUGAAUUUCUGUCUUUAUGAGACUGAACAAGAGACAACACCUUCUCCAACACCUCAUCUGGGAAUGCUGACUGAGAUAACUCCGACAUUUUCGAUAAAUCUACAGAUUCCCUCGGUUUUUUCAAGCUCGGAUUCAUUUCCAUCUCAAGAAAAACUCAGUCUUG
rnacentral:misc_RNA from 1 species